AAGUGGCAAACGGGUGAGUAACGCGUGGGAACCUGCCCAGAGGUAGGGAAUAACCGCGGGAAACUGCGGCUAAUACCCUAUGUGUCCUGAGGGACAAAGAUUUAUCGCCUUUGGAGGGGCCCGCGUCGGAUUAGGUAGUUGGUGGGGUAACGGCCUACCAAGCCAUCGAUCCGUAGCUGGUCUGAGAGGAUGAUCAGCCACACUGGGACUGAGAUACGGCCCAGACUCCUACGGGAGGCAGCAGUGGGGAAUAUUGGACAAUGGGGGCAACCCUGAUCCAGCAAUGCCGCGUGAGUGAUGAAGGCCUUCGGGUUGUAAAGCUCUUUCGGCGGGGAAGAUGAUGACGGUACCCGCAGAAGAAGCCCCGGCUAACUUCGUGCCAGCAGCCGCGGUAAUACGAAGGGGGCUAGCGUUGUUCGGAAUUACUGGGCGUAAAGGGCGCGUAGGCGGUGCUGUAAGUCAGGCGUGAAAUCCCCGGGCUCAACCUGGGAAUUGCGCAUGA
rnacentral:rRNA from 1 species